rnacentral:rRNA from 1 species
GAGUUUGAUCCUGGCUCAGGAUGAACGCUGGCGGCGUGCCUAAUACAUGCAAGUCGAGCGAACAGAUAAGGAGCUUGCUCCUUUGACGUUAGCGGCGGACGGGUGAGUAACACGUGGGUAACCUACCUAUAAGACUGGAAUAACUCCGGGAAACCGGGGCUAAUGCCGGAUAAUAUUUAGAACCGCAUGGUUCUAAAGUGAAAGAUGGUUUUACUAUCACUUAUAGAUGGACCCGCGCCGUAUUAGCUAGUUGGUGGGGUAAUGGCUUACCAAGGCAACGAUACGUAGCCGACCUGAGAGGGUGAUCGGCCACACUGGAACUGAGACACGGUCCAGACUCCUACGGGAGGCAGCAGUAGGGAAUCUUCCGCAAUGGGCGAAAGCCUGACGGAGCAACGCCGCGUGAGUGAUGAAGGUCUUCGGAUCGUAAAACUCUGUUAUUAGGGAAGAACAAAUGUGUAAGUAACUGUGCACGCCUUGACGGUACCUAAUCAGAAAGCCACGGCUAAC